UCGUUUACAGUGUUUGAUUUGAGCGUCUCCAAUGUUGUGCUAUGGAUGUGUGUGAUUUUCCGCAGCUUGUAAACAAAUUGUAAUUAGCUGCAAAUUUCUUAGUUUAAUAUGAGCUCAAAUGAUGAUUUUGUGUUCUUUGGAACUCCAUUGGAGGAACUUGACCAAGAUGAAAUACCACGCAAAAAAUAUCAACCAGACUUGACAGUUCGUGAUGCUCAAGGAAGACGUAGGUUUCACGGUGCCUUCACUGGUGGCUUCUCCGCAGGGUUUUACAAUACUGUGGGUACCAAAGAGGGAUGGGCACCAGCUUCUUUCAAGUCAUCAAAAUUGAAUAAGGCCGAAGGUUUAGCAAGAAGGCCCCAGGAUUACAUGGAUGAAGAGGACGUUGGUGAAUUUGGAAUAGCACCACAAAGGAUUCAAGUAAAAGAAGACUUUGCUGACUUUUCGGAGCGAAGAAAGCGCACCAGAGAGCCAGCCAGGGGUCACGGUGGGCCAAUUCCAGGAUCACCGCCACUGAAAAACAUUUUUAAACCUGCAAACAUGACAAUUGGCGUGAAGCUCUUGAGCCACAUGGGGUGGAGGCAAGGUCAAGGUAUUGGGCCAAGACUCACCAAGAAAGAAAAGAAGCAAAAAGGCAAACGAGGUCAUAAGGUGUAUGGAUGCUCACUUCCUCCAGGAAUGGAAGGGUCGUCUUCAUCCUCUGAAGAGGACGAAUAUGCUGAAAGUUUCACCUUUGCACCGUCUGAUGUAAAAGAAGUUGACUACACGCCAAAAAACAAUAAGCAUGGCAUUGGCUAUGUGUCACUGGGUGUGCGUUCAAUAUUUGAGGCUCCUAUAGAUGUGGACCGUCCGACCACAGCAAGAGCUCACCUGGAAAAAGGGAAGCGCAAGCUUACCAUUACUGGGCAGGCCUUUGGGGUUGGAGCAUUCGAGGAUGAUGAUGCAGACAUUUAUGCUCGCGAGGACAUGUCUCAGUACAACUUCUUUCUCGCGGAGGAGCCAAAAACAGUUACCAAGAAAAAUGAAGUGGAACUUGCACGAGGUGGCCGGCAAUCAAAUGUACAUCAACUGCGAAAAGACUUGGAGGGAUUUCAUCUUGCAAAGGACAACGGGGAGUCACGAAGGAAGCUCUAUCUGCCACCUGAAAUUCCUGGAGACUUUGAACCUAUUCAUCAAACUGCUAAAAGAGAAAAGAGACGUUUUGAGGAGCCCAAAGAUCAGCUAUGCAAGGAAAAGAAAACCGAACACAAAGGUUCUGUGUUUGAUCUUCUGUCUCCAGAAGACAAGGAACGUAUUGAACUAGCGAAACAAGGGAAAGCCAUGGUGCCUAAAGUUGAUUCUGCAGUGCACAAGAAAUCUGAUGGGGGCACCACUCUAGGAAGAGAAUCUGCUGACGUGCUCAGAAUGUCGGAGUCAACUGCGACAGAACGCCUUGGUACUGUGGAAGUGACGAAGCCUUUUGGAAGAAAUGAAGCCAAGCAGAGAAGAUUUGAGCAAUAUCUGUCGCUGCUAAGCUCAAAUAGAGCAGAACUCUACCCAGCGAUGCAACCGAUGCUGAUGACUGAGUGGGAGAAAGAAAAGGAAAGAAGAGAGUUUGAACGGGCUGCCAUGAUCUGCCAGCCUGCCAAGAGCCUCAACUCUCGCUUUGUUUCUAAGAAUAUGCUGGCUGAUGAUGACGCUGCAGUUGAUGUUCCCAUCGACAAGCUUGAAGAAAAUGAUGACAAAUCCAAGGCUGCUGAAAUGGGCAUGUUUGGGAAACUCACACACGAAUGCUUUGAGUGGCAUCCUGCUGACUUGCUUUGCAAGAGGUUCAAUGUGCCUAACCCAUACCCAGGAUGUGAAAUUGUAGGCAUGGCAGUUGUCAAAGUGGACAAACAUUCUGUGUUCAAUUUUCUCAAUGAUCCUGAAGGUGGAAAAACAGAAACUGGGUCGUCAGAUGCAGAUGGGAUCACUGGAUGUAAUAAACCUUCUACGUCUCUUGCUGAACUUUUUUCCAAGAAAGUAGAGGAAAAGCCAUCUGCUACAACAGAACCUGAAGAUGAUAUGGAGAUCAAGCUAGAUGUGGAACGACCACCCUUGGCAUUCUUCAAAGCUAUUUUCUCUGAGGAAUCAUCGGAUGAAGAUGAACCCACUGCCAAGCCUCCUGCUUCCACAACUGUUCCAGUCGACCAGAGUACAUCUAACGAAGUGAAAGAAACACUUGUUCCCGAAGAAAAGAAACAUCUCCUCGUUGCAGCUGAGAAGUUCAAUAAAGCAAGACCAGCUGCAAAAGGAGUUUUUGCGAACUUGGAUUUCGACCGUCUCAAUUCUUUGCCACCUCCAGUAGCGGUUGAGGAGCUGCAGCGUAAUGUUCAGUCUGAUAGCACUGCGACUAUAAAGGCAGGUGAAGGGAAGUGUAACGAAGACAGUGAGAGCAACGUGUACGGCCCGAGAUUGCCACCUCCUGGGGCCGUUUUUCAGCAAGUACUGGAACCUGUAAGAAUUCGACACAAGCAUAAGAAAAGGGAGCACCGUAGGUCCAAGAAAGGCAAGCAUAGGAAACAGAAGUCCAAAUCCAAAGGUAAGAAGCACAAGAAACACAGCAAGAAACUUGCAAUCAAGAGUAGGCCAGCAAAUAGCAGUGGCAGUAGCAGCGAUGAGGACACUGACUCUGAAGAUUCAUCUGAUGCUGAAGUGUUAAACAGACUGACACAAGUGAUUCAGAAGUUUGCGUAAAUGAGAGAUGACCUUGCUGCCCGUUAAGGAAGCUCAAGCAGGCUGUCAUCCCAAGUGCUCCUCAAGUUAUAAUUGGAUGGUGUGCACUGCUACUCUACAUUAAUAAGUUGACCAAUUUCGGUGAAAUAUCAAGCGGGGAAGGUACUACAGUGGACAAGGAGGUGAGGUAACAUUGGACAAGUCGAAGAAGCCUGUGUUACUUCAAGAAGCUGUGUCAUGCAUUUUCCCAGCAUGCCCACCCUACAUGUCUUCUCUGAAGAAAAAGCAAAGCACCAAAAAGCUAGUCAAGUGUCGAUGUUGGCUGCAGCAAGCAAGUGAGAGACGAUAUGCCUGUCAAAAUAAGUGAUGCUGGCAGUGGCAUACCAGUGUCACAGCGUCAGGUGGCCUCCUCUGUGUCCGAACUUCCUGAGACUGUGAUACGAGCCUUUAACGCAUUAAAUCCGAGCCUCAACCUGC